CCGCUAUAAUUUACUUGAUCUUGACACAAUCCUACUUGGAUAACUGUGGUAAUUCUAGAGCUAAUACAUGCAUUAAAGCUCUGACCUCACGGGAAGAGUGCAUUUAUUAGAACAAAACCAAGCGGCUUCGGCUGUUUCUGGUUGACUCAUAGUAACUGAGCUGAUCGCAUGGUCUUGCACCGGCGACGUGUCUUUCAAGUAUCUGCCGUAUCAACUUUCGAUGGUAGUGUAUCUGACUACCAUGGUGAUCACGCGUAACGGAGAAUAAGGGUUCGGCUCCGGAGAGUUCGCCUGAGAAAUCGCGAACACAUCUAAGGAAGGCAGCAGGCGCGAAAAUUACCCACUCUCAGCACGAGGAGGUAGUGACCAAAAAUAACGAGACCGUUCUCUUAUGAGGCCGGUCAUCGGAAUGGGUACAAUUUAAACCCUUUAACGAGUAUCUAUGAGAGGGCAAGUCUGGUGCCAGCAG
rnacentral:rRNA from 1 species